rnacentral:rRNA from 1 species
UACGUAGGGGGCAAGCGUUGUCCGGAUUCAUUGGGCGUAAAGAGCGUGUAGGCGGCCAGGUAGGUCGGUUGUGAAAACUGGAGGCUCAACCUUCAGAGGUCGACCGAAACCAUCUGGCUAGAGUCCGGGAGAGGAGAGUGGAAUUCCCGGAGUAGCGGUAAAAUGCGUAGAUAUCAGGAGGAACGCCGGUGGCGAAGGCGGCCCUCUGGACGGUGACUGACGCUGAGACGCGAAAGCGUGGGGAGCAAACAGG